GCUUCUGUGAGACAAGGCUUUGUGUUUCUAAAGGCAGAAAAUGUGGCACGCGCUGCUGCCAUUGCUCUGGCGAUAACCACGCGGAGUGAGUGCUGUAGCAUCAAGUCACAUGAUACAUAAAAAACAUCCGCCAUACAGAUUAAACUAGCCCAGACAAGCUUUCAUUUAGAUGGUAGACAUUUUCUUAAAUGUUUUCUUUCAGGUAUUGCAGUACGCUUGUUGAAGCUGAGAUUGACUUGGCCGCUCUCUCUGUUGUGCUGCAGACCUAGAUCCCCACCUGGCCACCCAGAAGAACCAGGCUUCUACUUGUACUAGAUCUGGCUUGUUCCUCUGUAAUAUUCCCAUUCCAUCUCUAUCCAGCCAUCUUAUCCUGAAUGGCAUCCAGAAGCUUUUCCCUUCCCUUCUUGUUGACCUCUUCAUUUCCACCCCCACCCGCUUAUUACCUUUGCACUUGCUCUGCUUAGCACAGGGAUUUUCGAGGAUACCACCCAACGUAAGAUGUGUCUUCACAGCACGUGAGAUCCCCAAGAGUCAAAUCUGGGUGUCACAGCUAUGCAAGCAGGUGCAAGGGAUAAGGCAAUAACAGCCCAACACGUCAAUCACCCACAGGUGUGUGUGCAUGUUGAUUUGCAUGCUUGCUUUUUGUUUUGCAGGGAAAAGGACAAAUGGGCUAUUCUUUACUAAUACUUCCUAGGAGUCCUAACCCACGAUGUCAGCCUGCCUCCUUCCUGCUAGCACCAGCAUUAGCUCCUCAGCCUCGUCCUGCCAAUAACUGCCAACUGCCCACAGCCCCCUGCUGAAACAGGUCGGGGAGCUUCAGCAGCUAAAUCCUCUUGCAGAGUUCUGAACAAGUUUCACAAGGCACUUCAAAGAUUCGGCAGCUGGAACAGUGAUACGAUGUCAUGCGUUGCAGAUGAAGUGCUAAUACUGUCCAUAAUGGAUUUGCUGGGAUGUAUUUCACGUUUCCUCCACCUGUUCCCUCUCUGGUGGAGUUCUUGCUUCCCGGGCUUUUGUCUUCAUAACAUACCACGUCUGUGGGGAAGCAGAGCUGACAGUGGCUGUGGUUGGCCUUAUUCCUUUGUACCUUACAGUGAGACCUUGUCUUGGAUCCAAGAAGAGAGCAGUGAUACAGUGCCAGCUUUCCCUAUUGCCAAUGUUAGUACCUACAGCAAUGCCCUGCUAUUCCCCUGUACGGAGCCUGCCCCAUACACAUUUCCCAGUCCACAUGGAGAGAAACAGCACAGAUGCAACCAGGAAAGCGAUCUGUUCCCAGGCACUCACCCCGCGGUUCCUGUAAGGAGUGUGAGGCAACCAAGAAAGCUCUGUUCACACCUUGGGAAAGGUCAUGUGCCACAGCAGGCACCUACUGCAUCACCUCCUGACACCAGAGCAGGUCCUGGGCAGAAGAAAAACAGGCACAGCCUCCUCUGAGACUGUUAUGCUAGCCAGCUAAUGAAUAGCUUGUUGAUUGCACUCUUAAAAGUAGUGCAGUUAAAGGAGGACAUGCAGCGUAUAUCUUCUUUGCUUUAAAAGAUGGUUGUAAAUGAAUUUACUUGUUGCAUAAAGCAGGAUGUCUUGGCUCGAUACAUUAUGUAAUUACUCAGACCAGCUGGUAGGGAGAAAUCACAACCAAAACCAAGCUCCUGCUCCACAGCACAGAUGGGAUUUCUCUUCUCAGUGCCACACACUCAGUCCUGGUCCUGACGUUUCGUCUACGUACUCAGACGUGUUCCGGCUGAGCAUAUAAGGACCUCCUAGAAGUUCACAGCUGUGACGAGAGAAGAAGGAAGGUCUGCACCGUAUCUGAGCAAGCAGGCAUCCUUCCAAACAUGCUCUCAGGCAGCUUGGGGGCAGGAGAGGAAAGGCUGAACGUUAAGAGCUCGGGACACCUGGGUCCUCUUUCCUGCUCUGACCACAGAUUUCCUGAGAAAGCUCGGUUUCUGACCUCAGGUUUUCUUUAAGUAAGAACACUAAAAAUUCUCCGAUGCUUUGUUUGAAGUAUCCAUAUACCACUAAAAAUGGUGAGAUCCCAAGUCCUUAGGUAAACUCCAGUGAGAGUCUGGUGCCUUAAACCACGCAGGACCAAAGUAAAGCUGUGUUACAAGGAGGGCCAAGUAUCUUCAGUGCUCAAUUGCAUCAAGGCCUGCAUUGACAUGAUGGCUGCAACAGAAACAUUUUGGGGGCUUCUUAUCACAGCAAUAGCAGGAAGACCAAUGGGCUACCACAUCUCUACUGGUGAGAGCAGGGCAAGGCAGGCGACGCAUUGCUGUAGCAGGAAAAGAAAGCGAGAGUCAGGCUGUACAGUGUGUCACAGCUUACUCAUACAGGGCUUAAGAAUCCCCCAGCAGCUCAGCACACCCCUUGCCAGCUCCUUCCCCUGCUGCUUGCCCCAUCGCCAGAUCGCUUUUUCUGCCACUGAUGGUGGGGCCAGGCUUGAGAGCUGCACACACAAAAUCCACCCAACGCCAAACCACAACCUGUUUUUUUUUUUAGCAGGGCUGUUUUCAGCCCCAACAGCAUGCAGAAAUGAAACGCUGUUAGGAGCCAAUCCCACAGCCUGCUGCAACUGAUAGCGGGAAAAACUUCUCCUCCUUCCAUCCCUGCUUGUGCCCGUCUGCAUCCCCACCUCCAGGCAUUACUUCUUUGAAAACUCAUUUUUUUUCAACCUGACUCACUUUCCAUCACAUCAGUGAUGAUGUUGGUUUCAAGGAGGGAACAAGACCAGAGCAAUCUUAACUUACAUCUGCC
ensembl:lncRNA